UUCCCUAACACAAUAUUUCCAUAACAGUCUGUAGCGUCUUCUUCAGGCUAAGGGACUGGGGCCUCAUCUAUCAGAGUUGUAACAAGGAGCAAAGGUUGUUGAAAAUCGUGAUACAACCAUCAAAAUUAAAGAUUUGGUAUAGUGCUUCUAACUUUAUUGUGUGGAGCAGAUUGUGCUGGGGCAACAGUGAUGUAACCAGACAUCAGGAGGCUGCCAAAGGCCCCUCAUGUGAGAGGUCAUGGAGCCUCACAGGACUGGGUCAGGGGGGGCAGAGUCUGAAAGAAGUGGAUACCAAGUCAUCAGAGCUGGGGUGGGGAUCCAACCCAGGCUAACGAAGCCAAGCUGGGAGAAAGACCAGGCUUGGUGGGGAGCAUGAGUGGCUUUCUGGCAGCAGAGUGUAAGGACAUAAAA
rnacentral:lncRNA from 1 species